rnacentral:lncRNA from 1 species
GUCAGGAAGACCUGGAUUCAAAUGCAGCUUCAGACACUUACUAGAUAUGUGACCCUAGACAAGUCAUUUAAUCCCAUUUUCCUCAGUUACUAAUCUAUAAAAUGAGCUGGGGAAGGAAAUGGCAAACCAUUAAAGCAUCUUUGCUGAGAACAUCCCCAAUGGGGUCAGGAAGAGUCAGAUAUGACUGAAACAACUAAAUAACAAACAGCUCUAAAAAGACUUCAGAAUCCAACCCCAUCAUUUUACAGAUGAAGAAACUGAGUUCCAAGAAAAUAACCUGACUUGCCCAAGGCUACACAAGUAGUGGCAGAGGUGGGAGACGUACCUAGGUCCUCACUGAGUCUUGGGGAGGUUACGUAUUAUCCCUAAGGUUAAAAAUGGAGUUAGCAAAAAUGAUCAGUUUUGAACUCAAAUCCCUCUGACUCCAGAGCUAGCAUUAUUUCCAUAUUUUAAGUUGCUUCUCCAUCUAGUUCAACCCUCUCUUCUUACAGAUGAAAUAACUGGGGCCCAAGAGUUUAGGUGACUUUGACCAAGUGAGCUCAGAGACAGUACGUGAACCUAGGACUUCCUAGCCUCAAGAGCAGCUCUCUAUCUACUCUGCCGUGAUCAUUUCCCUGGUAUGUUCAGAAAUAUCUAGGGAUAUUCUACAUUUGAUUAUAGAGACAGGAGCCAUUGUGGAAUUUUGCUUUGUUUGUCCAAGUAUAAGCAAAAACAAAGAGAACAUUGUACACAGAGACUGAUACACUGUGGCGCAGUGGCACAAUCAAAUGCAAAGGACUUUUCUACUAGCAGCAAUGCAAUGAUCCAGGACAAUUUUGAGGGACUUAUGAGAAAGAACACUAUCCACAUGCAGAGAAAGAACUGUGGGAGCAGAAAUGCAUAAGAAAAACAUAUGAUCAAUCAUGUAUUUUGAUGGGGAUAUUAUUAGGGUUUUGAUGUUAAAAGAUUGCUCUAUUAUAGAUAUGAAUAACAUGGAAAUAGGUUUUUGAACAAUGAUGCAUGUAUAACCCAGUGGAAUUAUUUGUGAGUUCUGAGAGGGGGGAGGGAAGAGGAUUGGGAAAAAUAAUGAA